AUGAACGCUGGCGGCGUGCCUAAUACAUGCAAGUCGAGCGAACGGACGAGAAGCUUGCUUCUCUGAUGUUAGCGGCGGACGGGUGAGUAACACGUGGAUAACCUACCUAUAAGACUGGGAUAACUUCGGGAAACCGGAGCUAAUACCGGAUGAUAUUUUGAACCGCAUGGUUCAAAAGUGAAAGACGGUCUUGCUGUCACUUAUAGAUGGAUCCGCGCUGCAUUAGCUAGUUGGUAAGGUAACGGCUUACCAAGGCAACGAUGCAUAGCCGACCUGAGCGGGGGAGCGGCAAAAUGGGACAGGAGACACGGCAAAGACACAGAGGGGAGGAAGCAGGGGGAAUUCUUCAGAAGGGGGAAAAGGCCGGAGGGAGAAACGCGGGGGGAGGGAGGAGGGUUUGAGGAUGAAAAAACUUGUUUAUAGGGAAAAAAAAGAGGUGAAAGAAAGGGGACAAAUUGGGAGGGUACAAAAUAAAAAAACAACGGAAAACACGGUG
rnacentral:rRNA from 1 species